GGUGGUGCUAAGGUUAAGCAUUUGGCUGCUAACCAAAAGGACAGUGGUUCAAAUCUGCCAGCCACUU
rnacentral:tRNA from 1 species